rnacentral:tRNA from 2 species
GCCUCCUUAGCUCAGUUGGCCAGAGCAUCUGUCUUGUAAACAGAGGGUCACCGGUUCGAAUCCGGUAGGGGGCUCCA